AGAGAUUUGUGAGCUGAGAGCACGGGUCGGGGAACUACUGUUUGAGCAUGCUUUCAGGAAAGUGCAGUUCAAUCACUGGCUGCUAAUGCGAGCGCUGAUGGUCUGGGGCGCCCACUCUUUCUGUGUCGGAUACAGGACCCGAUACAGCAUUCCUGGAAGGCCUGUGCAGGGAGCCCCCCUUUAACCCUUCAGGAAACUGCACACCACAAACACUACAUUAGAAACCCGGGCCACCAUCUGUCGAGUGUGUUUAAAAAGACCAAGUAAAAAAAGGAGCAGAGGGGCAGGAGAGCAAGACGAGACAGAAGACUGGGGGUUUUGGGCUGAAAUGCUGGUUUGGCACAAUGUUAUUGAAUACAGACUGGACACUAUUGGAAGUGUUCCAGCUCAACUGGGAGAUUUUCUUGCUUUUCUCUUUUCCCCACUUUUAUUUUACAACAACAAAGGAAUGAUUUCCUCUCUUUAGGCAACAAAAGCACAGAAAACAAUAACUGUGAAAAACACUAUAAAAAGAAAGAUGAAUGUGGCUUGGUUUAACACGGAAACCACCCCACACAAUAAGUAGAGCUAUUUCCCUCACUAUACUUGUUUUAUCUUCACUAAGCUUUUUACUACAACCAUAACAAUAUGUUCAGUUUUAAUUUUCUCACCAUGCCCAGAAUCGCCCACUCCUUUCAACAAAAUGGCUCCCAAAUCUCUCUAAGUAGACUUUUUAUAUCCUCCCACCUGAUCAUUGAUUAAUUGAAUUCCCCACCUUUCCUACUGAAAGCAUAGCAUUUCCAGAAUUUUCAAUUACCCAGUUACCCAAUUAACCUGAAUUUCUUGCCAACUUUUAUCAGCUCCCUGCAACCCUUUCUCAGUUUCUUAAGAGCAGGCAAGCUUUGUUCCUGGUCCACUUUGUUUAUCCUGCAAUAAUCACUGCCUGCCCUACUGUUACAGUAUGAAAUAGUUAUUUU